GACGAACGCUGGCGGCGUGCUUAACACAUGCAAGUCGAACGGAAAGGCCCUGCUUUUGUGGGGUGCUCGAGUGGCGAACGGGUGAGUAACACGUGAGUAACCUGCCCUUGACUUUGGGAUAACUUCAGGAAACUGGGGCUAAUAACGGAUAGGAGCUCCUGCUGCAUGGUGGGGGUUGGAAAGUUUCGGCGGUUGGGGAUGGACUCGCGGCUUAUCAGCUUGUUGGUGGGGUAGUGGCUUACCAAGGCUUUGACGGGUAGCCGGCCUGAGAGGGUGACCGGCCAGAGUGGGACUGAGAUACGGCCCAGACUCCUACGGGAGGCAGCAGUGGGGAAUAUUGCACAAUGGGCGGAAGCCUGAUGCAGCAACGCCGCGUGCGGGAUGACUGCCUUCGGGUUGUAGACCGCUUUCGCCUGUGACGAAGCGUGAGUGACGGUAAUGGGUAAAGAAGCACCGGCUAACUACGUG
rnacentral:rRNA from 1 species